rnacentral:snRNA from 1 species
ACUCAUACCUUGUAAGGGAAAUACCAUGUCCUAAAAGUGGUUUGGCUAGGGAGAAGCUCAUCUAUUGUACUCGGGGUAUGUUGCUGAUCCCUAUGGUUUCCCCAGAUGUGGGGAACUCAUUUGUAUAAUUUAUGUUAAUAGGGGGAUUACAUUUAUGAUUUUCCUGU